CUGAGUUAGGGUCUUGUCAGGCCCGAUCUCCAACCCUGUGUCUACCGUACCAUGUUGCUUCGGCGGGCCGGUCUUCGUGACCGCCGGGGGCCCAUAACCUGCCCUUGGAGAGCGCCCGCCGGUGGCCUAGUUAAACAAACUCUUUGAUGAACUGUGUCGUCUGAGUCUUUGAUAUAAUCAAAACA
rnacentral:misc_RNA from 1 species